ensembl:lncRNA LINC02120 long intergenic non-protein coding RNA 2120
UCAUCACUGCAUCUCCAACGCCUAGCACAGAGUCCUGAAUUACAGGCUCAAUAACUAUUUACUGAAUGUGAAAACAGAGCUGCUUGAAGAUAUAUGAGGCUAAUUGAGUGGAUGCUGUUGUUCAGUAUUCAGAUAUCAAGAAACAACUAGCCAAAGUAAGGAGGAACGAGGGGCCCAUGAAGCUCAGUAGAGCUUGUGAUAAUAUUUGCAAGAGAAGACUACCUGCCAAACUAACUUCAGAAAAGGUGUUUCUGGUUGAAAUCGUCGUGCCCAACAUUCCACCAGGUUCCUCACAUGUUGAAUACAUCAAAGCCUACUCCACCCAUCUGGAAUGGACAAGCAGAAAUGACUCACUGUGUUUUCCAAUUGCACUCAAGACCUGUCUCCAUAUGCCCUCCUCCUCUGCUUGAGCAGAAGGUGAAAGAGGUUGUGUUGACUGUGGAAUUUGGCCAUUGAAUCUUGAAGACAAAUGCUCUUUGACUUCACUACAACAUCAGAGGGCACUUGGCC